rnacentral:rRNA from 1 species
GAACGCUGGCGGCGUACCUAACACAUGCAAGUCGAACGAGAAAUUCUGAUUCGUCGGGAAAGUAAAGUGGCGAACGGGUGAGUAAUAUGAGGGUAAUCUACCUUUGAAUUAGGGAUAACUUUGCGAAAGCGAAGAUAAUACCUGAUAAGACUACAGUCUCUUAGGAGACAGUAGGAAAAGGUGGCCUCUGUCUCAUGCUAUCGUUUAUGGAUGAGCCCUCAUACUAUUAGCUUGUUGGUGAGGUAAUGGCUCACCAAGGCUACGAUGGUUAGCUGGUCUGAGAGGAUGAUCAGCCACACUGGAACUGAGACACGGUCCAGACUCCUACGGGAGGCAGCAGUGAGGGAUAUUGCGCAAUGGGGGAAACCCUGACGCAGUGACGCCGCGUGAGUGAUGAAGGCUUUCGAGUCGUAAAGCUCUGUUAGGUGGAAAGAAAUGUUCACGUGUUAAUACCACGUGGAUUUGACGGUACCACCAAAGGAAGCACCGGCUAACUCCGUGCCAGCAGCCGCGGUAAUACGGAGGGUGCAAGCGUUGUUCGGAAUUAUUGGGCGUAAAGAGCGUGUAGGCGGUUUGGCAAGUCAGAUGUGAAAUCCCUUAGCUCAACUAAGGAAGUGCAUUUGAAACUGCUUCACUAGAGUACAGGAGGGGAAAGUGGAAUUCCCAGUGUAGAGGUGAAAUUCAUAGAUAUUGGGAGGAACACCGGUGGCGAAGGCGGCUUUCUGGCCUGAUACUGACGCUGAGACGCGAAAGCGUGGGGAGCAAACAGGA